rnacentral:rRNA from 1 species
CCCUUAGAUGUCCUGGGCCGCACGCGCAAUACAAUGUAAAGUUCAGAAAGCAUAUCCUGUUCCGGAAGGCAAUGGGUAAUCUUUUCAAUAUUUUACGUGUUAGGGAUCGAUCUUUGCAAUUAUAGAUCUUGAACGAGGAAUACCUAGUAAGUGCAGCUCAUCAGGCUGUACUGAUUACGUCCCUGCCCUUUGUACACACCGCCCGUCGCUCCUACCGAUUUCGAGUGGUCCGGUGAACCUUCUGGACUGAGUUCGCAAGAAUUCGGGAAGUUAAGUAAACCUUAUCACUUAGAGGAGGGAGAAGUCGUAACA